ACAUGCUUAUAUAAUAGGGUUAAUGCACCAAAUCCCAUUAGAACUCCACAACUAAGCACACUUGGGCUAGAGUAGUAUUGGGAUGGGCGACCACCCGAGAAGUCCUAGUAUUUUACAUGCC
rnacentral:rRNA from 1 species